GGGAAUAUUGGACAAUGGGCGCAAGCCUGAUCCAGCCAUACCGCGUGGGUGAAGAAGGCCUUCGGGUUGUAAAGCCCUUUUGUUGGGAAAGAAAUCCAGCUGGUUAAUACCCGGUUGGGAUGACGGUACCCAAAGAAUAAGCACCGGCUAACUUCGUGCCAGCAGCCGCGGUAAUACGAAGGGUGCAAGCGUUACUCGGAAUUACUGGGCGUAAAGCGUGCGUAGGUGGUCGUUUAAGUCCGUUGUGAAAGCCCUGGGCUCAACCUGGGAACUGCAGUGGAUACUGGACGACUAGAAUGUGGUAGAGGGUAGCGGAAUUCCUGGUGUAGCAGUGAAAUGCGUAGAGAUCAGGAGGAACAUCCAUGGCGAAGGCAGCUACCUGGACCAACAUUGACACUGAGGCACGAAAGCGUGGGGAGCAAACAGGAUUAUAUACCCUGGUAGUUCACGCCCUAAACGAUGCGAACUGGAUGUUGGGUGCAAUUUGGCACGCAGUAUCUAAGCUAACGCGUUAAGUUUCGCCGCCUGGGGAGUACCUGUCCGCAAGACU
rnacentral:rRNA from 1 species